rnacentral:rRNA from 1 species
ACGCCGCGUGAGUGAUGAAGGUUUUCGGAUCGUAAAGCUCUGUUGUUAGGGAAGAACAAGUACCGUUCGAAUAGGGCGGUACCUUGACGGUACCUAACCAGAAAGCCACGGCUAACUACGUGCCAGCAGCCGCGGUAAUACGUAGGUGGCAAGCGUUGUCCGGAAUUAUUGGGCGUAAAGGGCUCGCAGGCGGUUCCUUAAGUCUGAUGUGAAAGCCCCCGGCUCAACCGGGGAGGGUCAUUGGAAACUGGGGAACUUGAGUGCAGAAGAGGAGAGUGGAAUUCCACGUGUAGCGGUGAAAUGCGUAGAGAUGUGGAGGAACACCAGUGGCGAAGGCGACUCUCUGGUCUGUAACUGACGCUGAGGAGCGAAAGCGUGGGGAGCGAACAGGAUUAGAUACCCUGGUAGUCCACGCCGUAAACGAUGAGUGCU